GCCCGAAGCCGAUUAUCUAACCUUUUGGAAGAAGUCGGCGAAGGUGGAAUCAAUAACUGGGGUGAAGUCGUAACAAGGUAGCCGGAUCGGAAGGUGCGGCUGGAUCACCUCCUUUCUAAGGAGA
rnacentral:rRNA from 1 species